GUUUGCUUGGCAUAGUGGUAAGUACGUUAGCUCGUUGCGCCGACAACACGAGUUCGAUUCUCGUAGAGAGAG